rnacentral:rRNA from 1 species
UGGCUCAGAACGAACGCUGGCGGCAUGCCUAACACAUGCAAGUCGAACGAGACCUUCGGGUCUAGUGGCGCACGGGUGCGUAACGCGUGGGAAUCUGCCCUUAGGUUCGGAAUAACUCAGGGAAACUUGAGCUAAUACCGGAUGAUGCCUUCGGUCCAAAGAUUUAUCGCCUAGGGAUGAGCCCGCGUCGGAUUAGCUAGUUGGUGAGGUAAAGGCUCACCAAGGCGACGAUCAGUAGCUGGUCUGAGAGGAUGAUCAGCCACACUGGGACUGAGACACGGCCCAGAGAUACCUACGGGAGGCAGC